ensembl:miRNA Mir3063 microRNA 3063
GGCAUUUGGGCCUGGCUGGAGAUCAGGUUUGCACACUGUCUUGAGAAAAAUGUUCCAGUGAGGAAUCCUGAUCUCUCGCCCCCAAUUGAGCC